GACGAACGCUGGCGGCGUGCCUAAUACAUGCAAGUAGAACGCUGAAGAGAGGAGCUUGCUCUUCUUGGGUGAGUUGCGAACGGGUGAGUAACGCGUAGAUAACCUGCCUUUUAGCGGGGGAUAACUUUGGGAAACGAGAGCUAAUACCGCAUAAUAUAGUAAACCACAUGGCUUUUUUGUGAAAGGCGCAUUUGCUGUCCCAUAUAGUGGACUUCCGUUGGAUUUGCCAGGAUGGGAGGGAAUGGCCCUACCAAGGCAAGGUAGCUUAGCCGACCGAGGAGGUGGUCCGCCCACAUGGGAAUUGGGACAGGCCCCGACCCCUACGGGGAGGAGCAGUAGGGAAACUUCGGGAAUGGGGGCAAACCUGGCCGGGCAACGCCGGGUGAGUGAAGAAGGUUUUCGGAUCGUAAAGAUCUGUUGUAAGUCAAGAACGGGAGUGAGAGUGGAAAGUUCACGCUGUGACGGUAGCUUACCAGAAAGGGACGGCUAACUACGUG
rnacentral:rRNA from 1 species